rnacentral:lncRNA from 1 species
GCAUUGCAGGAUGUUGAGUGGCCUCCCUAGCCUCUACCCACUAGACACCAGCAGCACCCCACCCCAAGUUGUGACCAUCAAAAAUCCCUCGACAGUAUGAUUCCACUUACGUGAAGUACCUAGAGUCGUCAAAAUCAUGGAGACGGAAAGUCAAAUGAUGGUUGUCAGGGGCUAGGAGAAGAGGGAGUUAGUGUUUCAUGGGUACAGAGUUUCAGUUUUGCAAAAUGAAAAGAGUUCUAUGGAUGGAUAGUAGUGAUGGUUGCACACCAGUAUGAAUGUGCUUAGUGCCACUGAACUAUACACAUGAUAUGGUUCAAAUGGCUAAUUUUAUGUUAGGUGCUUUGCCACAAUUUUUGAAAAUGGAAAAAAAAAACAAAAAUGUCUCCAGACAUUGCCAAUGUACCCUGGAAAGCAAAAUCGCCCCUGGUUGAGAACUAGUGUUCUAGCUGUAGCACAACACAUUGAAUUGUAUAAUAUGUGUAAAAACAUGGGCCUAGGGCUCAGCCCUGCUUUUUGCUAUUAAGGGUUAGAAUCUCAUCUCUCCUUAAAUAUGUUUUAUCUACUCAGAUUUCAGGCCAGUAUCAAUAGGACAAUGGAGCAGUUUGAUCUAGAAAAAGCCCCUGUCUAUGGACCCAAAACUGGUGUCAUAUAAAUACACCCUGUGAAAACUCUUACACUGUUUUAAGCUUUCCAUCUGAUAAACAGAGUACAAUAGAGAUUCCAUUUGGGAUAAUGUUUCCUGAAACUUACUUGUUUUUCAUGCUGGUUCUACGGCUAAGGGGCCUGGUCUUAAAAUGUGUUGGAGCAAAAGAGUGAGAAGAGCUGAGGGAGAUGUCAGAGAGUUUCCAGAUGACAGAAUUGCAAAUCUGCUGAGGAAGAGGUAGCUUACACUUUGAAUGCAUCUUGAGGCAUAUUCUCCACACCUGAGGAAUAAAUUAAGGCUAACACAGGGACCUAAAUGGUGAUUGACUCCGCUCUUGAUGAAUUGAAUUCCACUCUGGGACUGAGGUAGCAGAGGGCUUCUUACAUCCACCUCCACCACCACCACCCUGCCUAAGUCACCUCGGAGAAUCCUCUUUCUAUCUCAGUAUUGGGCCUACAUUCUAAUGCUUCAGCCCUUUUCCAUAAUGACCCCUCCAGAUUGCCACACUCUAGAACCACUAGAUAGAGGGCAGUGUUACUGCUGUGUGGACUCUUCAUCUCAAAGUGAGGGGCCGGCUCACAUGAUUGCAAGGUUCCUCUCUCUGGCCUUCUAAAACAUUCUCCAGGUUGAGGCUGAAACUGCUCCCCCAAAGCCCCAUAACAGGAAUGAACAGAUUAUCCUCCUCUUCUUGGUUCCCAUGGCUAGAAUCCUUAACUAAGCCUCUCCCCACAAAGUAGGGCUGAUUUCAGAAGCUGUUAUUUCAGCUGCUUGCUCCACCAUCUGCUCUUGAUUUGCUUGGUGAACACCUCCAGGGUGCUCAGAGCUGCCCUGUCACACUUCGCCCCACUCAGCUUCUGCCCCCCACCGUCAAACACAUCUGCAUCUGCAUACCCCUCCCACACCCCAGUUCUGCCCACAGUUGAUCCUUCCAUCUGCGCUCCAGGCCCCAGCCCGUUGGGAGCUUGUGCUAUCAAUUACUUGUGCUUAGUUCAGAAUCUUUAGCCUCUCCAUGUCCAUGGCUCUUUCAUUUAUUCAAUGUAGUACCAUGUUUAAACCUCUCCAGUCCUGGGAAAAAAAAAA